rnacentral:rRNA from 1 species
GUUCUCUGAAGUUAAGCAACGUCGAGCCUGGCAAGUACUUAGAUGGGUAACCGCUUGGGAAUACCAGCUGCUGUAAG